ensembl:lncRNA
GGCAGGAAUCCGGUGUGCUUACCUCUCUCCAUCUUUCCCUCCACCCACCCGCCCAUGUCUUCAGCAAUAGGAAGCUUGCACCCACGCAGGGUUCCCGCCCACCUCCCCAGCAUUCCCGUUGCCCACCAUUUUCUGAAUCAAAAUGGAUAGAAGACGAGGCUGUGGGUGAACACUGCAGUACUGGAUCUGCUCCCGGUCCCCCCUCCCCACUUUCCUUUCCGGUGGUUUGCAGGUGGCUUCCACCUGCACUUGCAGGGAACCCAGGGAUUUGCCUCCUCCUCCUCUCUUCCUGGGCGGGAGGCCAACCUGCUUUCAAUGCAGUAGGGAGCUGGUACCCAAGCCUGACCGCCGCGCCACAAGCCCACCAUUUUUUUUGCCCCAAAGUCGACAGGAGCAGGAGCAGGAAAGGAGCAUAGGCAAUGCAGUCGUGGGCCCGCAUUGGUGUUCGCCCUCGCCUUUGGAUAGCCUCUGAUCAAAUCGCGGGCAGAUGCUACUCUCCUCCUCUGGUCUAGAAGCGCACCCGCCUACUCCUACUCCAAGGACCUAUGGGUGCAUGUGUGCUCACUCAGUUGUGACCAACUCUUUGCAACUGUUUCCAACUACAUGGACUGUUGCCAGCCAGGCUCCUCUAUCAAUGGAAUGUUCCAGGGCCCAUCUGUCUGGAGAUGGACUUGAGGAAUUCUGCUCUCUCCAGCCCAGACGUUCCCCCUGCUGCUACCGCCUCUGCGUUCUUUCCUAAUGAUACCCGUGUCAGUACUUGGAUCUCAAGACUUGCUGCCUGGGACUGUAGCAGGCCCCGUCCAGCCUGGGGCGCCCAGGCCUGCCUCUCCGACUCCUGCCCCAGGGGGAAUAGCCAGGUGGGAAGUGCAGUGACAGGAGCCCCUCUCUUCUGCUUCUGGCCUCGUCCUAACUGAACCGGGACACACAUACGCAUGCACGCACACAUACACACACACUGCAGAUGUCCAGAGAAAUGAGGAAGGGACACACACACGCACACACCCUUGCAGAUGCCCGGAGAAAGAAGGAGGGGACUCUCAGGAAAGGUGGGGUGGCACCUCCGUUUUCUGGGAGACACUCAGGGGGAGGGAAGGCAGGUGCAGACCUGGGCUGAAGGUUGCAGUGGCGGGCUCUUGGCUGGGCAGGGCUUGGGCUGCCACUGGCUGAAGGGCCGUGGGGGCUGGGCGCCUUCUACCCUUCUCCAUACCUCUGUGUCCUCCUCCUGCUCCCUGAAACUUGGGCUUAGGGGCUGUGAUAGAGCAAUGAACACGGUCCCUUCCAGACCCAGGAUGCUCUGAGUCCACACUGUCCACCAGAGUGGAAUGAAAAGGGGUCUUUCUUAGGAACACCAUUUGGCCUGACUGGGGGCCUUUCCAGACUGGUGGCUGCUGCCUUUCCCAGAAUCCAGGUGAACUUAGAGCACAGAACUCUCCCUCCUGAGCCCCAGCCUUCUCACAGCCUUACUUACUCUUGGCCACUCAGCCUCUCGAAAGGGUCCAAAUCAACCCUAGUUUUUUGAGGUCUGGGUGAUAGAGGUUGAAACAGAGGAGACAGUUACAAUCUUGAAUAUUUGGUUCACCAAACUUAUAUUUAAUAAAUCUUUUAUCCUCUGUCCUAUAUAGGAUGUCAAAUAAGACACAAAUGUUCCCGGGGAUCACUGAUUUAUAUGGGAGCAUGCGUGUGUGCUAGGUCACUUCAUUUGUGUCCGACUCUUUGCAACUCCAUGGACUGUAGCCCACCAGGCUCCUCUGUCCAUGGGAUUCUCCAGGCAAGAAUAUCAGAGUGGGUUGCCAUGCCCUCUUCCAGAGGAUCUUCCCAACCCAGGGAUUGAACCUGCAUCUCUUAUGUCCCCUGCAUUAGCAGGUGGGUUCUUUACGACUGAACUAACUGGGAAGCCUUUAUAUGGGAGAGAGAUGUCUAAACAUAGUUUUAGCUUGAUAAUAAAUCUAGUCAACUGGUAAUUCUAGGAACACCAGGAAAAGACAUGUAACUCUGAUGACUGUGAAGAAGAUACUUCAGUUGAGUUUUAGUGAUUAAAUAGGAUUUUUGCUUAACAGAGAAGCAGAGGGCAGUCUAGACAGAAGGGGGAAAGCAGGAGAAAGCUUGAGGCAAAGCCAUGGAGGUUUGGCCUCAGAGAUCUGACUGAACCAGUCCAGCAGCAAUUCAGAUGACAGAUAUCCAUUACAGAGGCCAGUUUUUUAACCCACCAAGAAAUUAACAACUCUGACACUGAGGGGGUGUCAGAUCCCACAUGGGCUUAUUUCCACAAGACUGCGCCCUCUUGUACUCCAGAUGUCAACCUGUGCUUCUGACAGACCGGUUAUAGACCAGAGGUUCCCAUGAACCUCUGCCUCAGUUUGAUACACUUGCUAGAUUGGCUCACAGAACUUGGAGAAGUUUACUUAUGUUUUCCAGUUUAUUUUAAAGAAAUUAGAUGAAUAGUCAGAUGAGGUAGGGGCAAGGUCCUGAAGGGACCUGAAUGCAUGGACUUCUGUUCCCAAGGAAGUGGGGUGUCCCACCCUCUCAGCAUGUGGAUGCAUUCGCCAGCCUGUGCUUGCAUGCUUAGCUGUGUCCAACUCUUUGUGCCAGGUCCCUCUUUCCAUGGGACUUUGUAGGUAAGAACACUAGCCUCCAGGGGAUGUUCCUGACUGAGGAAUAAAAACAAACCUCCCCUGCAUCUCCUUCAUUGCAGGUGGAUUCUUUGCCCACUGGGCUCCCCUUGUGGCUCAGCUGGUAAAGAAUCCUCCUGCAAUGCGGGAGACCUGGGUUUGAUUCCUGGGUUGGGAAGAUCCCCUGCAGAAGGGAAAAGCUACCUACUCUAGUGUUCUGGCCUGAAGAAUGCUCCAUGGGGUCUCAAAAAGUCAGACACGACUGAGUGACUUUCACUUCACUCUUUACCCACUGAGCCACUGGGGAAGCCAACUGGAAGCUCAUCCAGUCUUGUUCCCCUUCCCAGUUGUCCUUGGGGCUGAAAGUUCUGGUUUCUGGUGACCAGCCCCAUCUUGAAGCUAUCUAGUGGCCCCACCCUCUUAAGCAUAAGCUCAAAAGGGUCUCCCUAUGAAUAACAAUAGACUCCUACCACUCAGGCAGUUCCAAAGCUUUGAAGAGCAAUGCGCAAGUAACGGGACAAAAAUCAAAUACAUUUCUUAUUAUACCAUAGUAGGUAACAACCUGGAUAGAUUUCUAAGACAUGCUGGAAUGGAAAAAAGAACAUUUUGUUGAAUGAAAAGUAGGGUAUAAUGUCAUUUAUAUAAUAUCAUUCAAAUUCUAUGAAUAUGUGUGUUUCCAUGUGUAUGAAUUGUUUCUCAUGUGAACUUCUCCAUAUACUUUGCUUAUUUUCUAUUGGUGAGUGGAGAUUUAUAUGUUUUAAUAUAUUUCAAAGAUAUCUCAAAAUCUGUAAUAUAUGUUUAUCUCAAAAUCUGUAAUGUAUGUUUAUCUCAAAAUCUGUAAUAUAUGUUUUAAAUAUUUCAUCUGUUUCUCAUGUGCCAGUUGAUAUUCUUUGAGAUUUUUUUAACUUCAAAAAUUUUGAAAGAGAUCAUUCUAUUAAAUUUUCUGAUUGCAAAAGCAUUCUUGUGGUAGAUAAUAAGAGUGGGGUAGUGUUCACACCUUUUCUGAGUUCCAAAAAGUGAGUGCCACUAGACUCAGUGUGAAAUUUUAGGAGCAAGCAAGGCAUAAUGGUUAAGAGGCAGACAAAUGUAAGUUCAAAUCCAGCCUCCUCCUACAGAUUGUGUGAUCCUGUAUAAGUCACCAAACCUUUUUGAGUUUCAGUCUCCUCGUCUAUAAUAAGGAUGAACGCCUUCCUCAAAGUGUUGUAAGGAUUUAAGAUCUCAGAGAUUAAAUAUCUGGCCUAAAGUAGGUUCUAGCUCAUUUUGAAUUUCUUUGCUCAGUUCCAAACAGAGCUAGUGCUCUUUGCUCUACCUUAUGCUUUUUUGGGGGACCUGCCCAUUCAUGUGGCCUUCAGACAGAGGCCUCUGAAGUCAAUGAGAACAAUUUUAUGUUCACUAUAGACACCACUGUCCAGGACUGUGGUUGAUGGAAUGUCCAUGUGGAUGAAUGCCAUGGUACAUGUGUUUAAAAAAAAAAAAAGGAAUCAAUAAAAUAUAUGCUAUAUAAGAU